UUGUAACGCGCCACUUAGCACUGUUCGACCUCCGCCCAUGCUCCAGUUACUAUUAUGACAGCAAAUAGUGACUAGCAUAGGCAGAGGUGGAGCAGUUACAAUGAUCAUUC
rnacentral:pre_miRNA from 1 species